rnacentral:tRNA from 1 species
AGGGGCGUAGUUCAAUUGGUAGAGCACCGGUCUCCAAAACCGGGUGUUGGGAGUUCGAGUCUCUCCGCUCCAAAACCGGGUGUUGGGAGUUCGAGUCUCUCCGCCCCUGCCA